rnacentral:lncRNA from 13 species
GGGUUGGAGAAGCUGGAGGCUCCUCUUUUGUUUCCUUCAGAGCUGAGGCUCUCCAACUUCUGUGGGGACACGGUGCCACCCCUGCACAGUGCCAGCCCACAGGCCCUCACCAACCAGACCCACAAUAUCCAGGUGUCCAUCCCCCAGACCCUCGCCAGCCAAGUCCCCAACCCACUCGGAGAGGCCAAAGAUAGCGCCAUCUGCUGUUCAGAAGCUGCAGCCAGUGAAGUCAGUGAUUGGCUACUACCAGCUGACUGGCGUAGUCUCUCAUUUGGGAGGCUCCGCAAACUCCGGUAAGUAAAUACCUUAAAACACUCACAUGCAGAUGCACAGUACAUAUGGCAUAGGCUGAAUCCCAAAUCACUCCUUUCUCCUUGACUUUCAAUUUGCGUAUUCACGUGCGCCUCUGCCAUUUAAACAAGUAUCCCAAAGCUGAGGGAGUGAAAAUGAUCGAGGAUUGAAUAAUAAUAAUUAUAAUAAUAAUAAUAAUUAUUAUUAUUAUUAUAAUUAAUUAUUAUUAUUAGAAUAAUAAUAUAAUAAUAAUUUGUAGACUGCAAAUUGACCGUAAGAAGCCCAAACAGAUAUCAUAUUUGAUCAAUUUCAAACCUUGCUUACAUUUGUGUACAAUCACGUAUAUCUCUUUAUUGUGCGUAGGAAGACUUUGGAUCAGAUUUCCAAAAUGAAAAUCACUUGGAACUGAUUUGCUGGUGUUUUUACAGUCUUUUAACAAUUACAAUUUUUUGCUCAGAAAACAUGGGGUGGGCCAAAUAAAAUCACCCGUGGGCCAAAUUCAUCCGACGGACCGCCAGUUGGGGAACCCUGGUGUAGGGGAUAAUUAGACCCUCCGAUAGCCUCUUACACCAAGCGAGCAAGGCUGCAGGCUUCAGAGUGAAGUGCCAUCCAGACAAGCACUGCUAUAUGUUUAGAGUUUGCGCAAUUUAAUUCAAAGGAAUGGGGAGGCAUGCCACGUGUAUGUGUUUAUCUCUGAUUUCCAAACUUGACACUUGUAACAGAUAAAAUACCUUCCAAAUGACCUGUUUAACUGUUAUAACACACUCUAUUACCCACAAGAGCCUGACCCUUGACCUCGAGUCUGUCUUCUUUGUUCCACAGGGCACUACAUUAGUGACAUCUUGAAUGCCAGUGGAAACUGGUUCUGCUGUAAUGACAGCCAAGUGUCAAUGUCCAAUGAAGCCACUGUGCUGAGGACCAGAGCCCGGAGUGCUUACCUACUUUUCUAUAUGUUCAGGUACUGCUUACUCUCUUCAUCUAUAUUCUUGUGUUGCUAUAUAUGUGUACUGUAUGUACAGUAAG